GCCCGGUUAGCUCAAUCGGUAGAGCGUAAGACUCUUACAAUCCUGGCAACAGUUGCCAUGGAAACUGGGAUCUUAAGGCUGCGGGUUCGACCCCCGCAUCGGGCU